rnacentral:lncRNA from 1 species
UUUUGCUUUUUUACUUUCAUUCUUUUGGUGAAGGGGUAUAUAUUAGGGAGAAUAUAUGGCUGUUUGGAAGAGAUUGGAAAUAGUAUAAUUUUGUAUCCUGUAAAAUUUUUCAGUAUUCCUCUGGCAAGAUGAUCUCUGCCAGACUCUCUCUAUAUAUUUUUAAAUUAUCUCAGUGUUCUAGGUGUUAUAGGUCAGAGGAAUGUGUUCUUAUGACAUAGAUACUUCAUUCUCCAAUGAGGGGCUGCUAUCUUUCUUCUGGGAUUCUCACACUGUUUGAAUAUAAAUCUGUACUAGUCAGGGAUAUUGCUGCCAUCACAUGGAUAUGAUCUCACUGAGAAUGAAACUAACGUAGAAGAAAGCAAAGAUAAGAGAGGGGAGAGCAAGCGCACAAGAGUUUGAACUAGGUUUCCUGAUGCUUGUCUGCAAAAGAUUAUUCACUGAUAUCGAGAGAGAUGUUACUUGUUGAAGUAAAGAGUGAAGAUUUGUUCUACAUCCUAUUCUCUUACCUCCUGUGCUGCACUGAAGGAAGGAGCAGAGCUGAAAAUGAACUUGAUAAAAUACACAAGAUUAAAAUUAUUAUACAAAAAUAAAAUAGAUUUGAGAACCAGAGCAAUGUCCAAUGCUUGUGAUGAAUCUUAGAUAAAUAAUGGCUGCUAGACAAAUAAAAAGGACAAUAUUCUGAAAGAAAAAUGUCAUUUUAUUCCUUCUAUGUGUACACCGACAUCGCUUUGCAUCACAGCCUUUUUCAUCUAAUGUGGCAAAAUCUGUGUCUCUCUAAUGUAUUUGUGUGAAGUUCUCAGCAUAGAGACAUUACUAUGGCCAGGUGAUAUAAAUCAAUGAUUCUUAACUUGGGUACUGUAUACUAUGCAGAGAGGGCUUAAAAAUGUUGCCUGGAGUUGACCGGGUGAGGUGGCUCAUGCCGGUAAUCCCAGCACUUUGUGAGGCCGAGACGGGCGGAUCACGAGGUCAGGAGAUCGAGACCAUCCUGGCUAACAUGGUGAAA